rnacentral:tRNA from 1 species
GCUGGGAUGGCAGAUUGGCUAUGCGCCUGACUGCAGAUCAGGAUAGUGGGGUUCGAUUCCCUAUCCCAGCU